AACGUAGGAGACAAACGUUAUCCGGAGUUACUGGGCGUAAAGGGCGUGCAGGUGGUCUGUUAAGUCUGGCGUGAAAGCUCUCGGCUAAACCGGGAGAGGUCGUUGGAUACUGGCGGACUAGAGGACGGUAGAGGCGUGUGGAAUUCCGGGUGUAGUGGUGAAAUGCGUAGAGAUCCGGAGGAACACCAGUGGCGAAGGCGGCUUCCUGGACCGGUUCUGACACUGAGGAGCGAAAGCGUGGGGAGCGAUCCGG
rnacentral:rRNA from 1 species